rnacentral:rRNA from 1 species
AGCGAACGCUGGCGGCAUGCCUAACACAUGCAAGUCGCACGGGGGGGCUUCGGCCUCCCAGUGGCGGACGGGUGAGGAACGCGAAGGGACCUGUCGAGGGGUGGGGGAUAACCGCGGGAAACUGCGGCUAAUACCGCAUGACGCCGCGGCGUGACAGCCGGGGCCAAAGGCGAAAGCCGCCCGCCGAGGGGCCUGCGUCCGAUUAGCUGGUUGGCGGGGUAGCGGCCCACCAAGGCGUCGAUCGGUAGCUGGUCUGAGAGGGUGAUCAGCCACACCGGGACUGAGACACGGCCCGGACUCCUACGGGAGGCAGCAGUGGGGAAUAUUGGACAAUGGGCGCAAGCCUGAUCCAGCAAUGCCGCGUGGGUGAAGAAGGUCUUCGGAUUGUAAAGCCCUUUCGGCGGGGACGAUGGUGACGGUACCCGCAGAAGAAGCCCCGGCUAACUUCGUG